rfam:Hordeum vulgare subsp. vulgare, WGS project CAJW01000000 data, contig: morex_contig_1600969
GACAUACUCCUUUCGUCCCAAAAUUCUUGUCUUAGAUUUGACUACAAAUAGAUGUAUCUAAAUACUAAAAUGUGACUAGAUACAUUCAUAUCUACACAAAUGUAAGACAAACAUUUUGGGACGGAUGGAGUAUAUA